CAGGAGUGAAGAAGCUCUCUGAUGGACUGAAGAGUCAACACUGUAAACUGGAGACACUGAGAUUGGUGACAUGUAAACUCACUGCCGAUUCUUGUGAGAGUUUGUCUUCAGCUCUACAAUCCUCAAACUGUGUGCUGAGAGAGCUGGACCUGAGUAUCAAUGACCUGCAGGAUUCAGGAGUGAAGAAGCUCUCUGAUGGACUGAAGAGUCAACACUGUAAACUGGACACACUGAGAUUGGUGACAUGUAAACUCACUGCCGAUUCUUGUGAGAGUUUGUCUUCAGCUCUACAAUCCUCAAACUGUGUGCUGAGAGAGCUGGACCUGAGUAUCAAUGACCUGCAGGAUUCAGGAGUGAAGAAGCUCUCUGAUGGACUGAAGAGUCAACAC